UCUUCUGGAUGACUUCAUGGGCUGCUCUGACAGAGCUAUGUGCAGAGCUGGGCUCUCCUGCCCUGGAUGCUUUUUGCUUGGCAGCUGGCCUCAUCCCGACCAAGUCAGGAGUAAAAAUUCAUGAUGAUUUCAGCUGGCCAAAGGGUCAGGAGGCUGAGGAUGGAUAUCUGGAUGCUGCAGCACUCUGGGGAGAGCAGGGAGCAGCAGCCUCUCCAAGAAGCCUCUAAAGCACUGUAUUCCCAUCUCUAGAAAUCACCACUGCAAUUAUCCUGCCUGCCAGCAUCCUUGGAGGCAGAUACCAAAGGCACAGGAAUAAACUACGGAUUUAGGCUUUCCUCUUUGCCAUGUCUUUGGGAACUGGUAGACAGCAAGAAAUCAUCUUCUGAGUACAGAAUAGUCUGCUUCUGCUCCUUUCCAUUGUUCUGUGCUGCUGGAACCACUAAGACUCAGCCAACCGCCUUCUGUACCUCUCCAAUCUGACCCUUCUAUUUCUGUGCUGAUUUCUAUCCAAGAUUGUUUAAGCCCCCUAAAAAAACUACUACUGCUGCAAAGGAUUUCAUGGCCUGGCAAAAUAUCUGUAUCUCUAUCUUCUACAAUCAUGCUUAAAAGCUCACAGCUCCUAAACCUCUUCAAUGCUAUGUAAACAGAUGAAUUAAAAUAAAAACACUGCUGGUGAUUAAUUAUGCCUGGAUUAACAAAAUGCCAGCCUUUGCUUAUUGUUCUGAGAGUAAGGAGGAGAGGAACCAGCACUGCCCUGCUAGAAGUGGCUCAGUCACUGCAAGCAGUCACUGCAAUCUGCAAAAGAACAGAGGAAGAGGAGGCCGAGAAACUCCCAUUUUCUCUCUGACAGGAGGAAUGAUCAGAAGAGAUGACUGGAGGAAGGAAAAAGGGGGUGCUUCAUGAAGGAAAAAGGGGGUGUGCUGGGAGAAGCAGGCUGAGAGGUGAAGAUGGGAAAGACAAGAAGACCGUAAGCAGAGCCUGAAGAGAUGAGCGGUAAAGACACUGUGGAGGCAGCCAUACCUCCCCCCACAUCAGGGCAGCAAGGCAGACAGAGGGCAGACACUUCCAAGAAAUGCCAGGGCUCUGCCUAAGUGGUUUGAAGUCACCCACUUGAGUUGUAGUCCUUCUUGCUUCAAUUCUGCAGCUGCCCAGGGCCACAGGUUGCCCUAGACUCAGGACAGGUUGCCUGUCCUGAUUCCCAGAACAAGGUCCCAAAUCUUAUCUUGGUAUGGAGAAAAGUGAUGGUGCUAAUGAUGAAAUGUACAAAUUUUAAGCCAUAAAUCCCAAGAGAUUUAGUGACCUUCAUGUUUGCACACUAUGCUUGUGUAAUAUCAUAAUUACUGCAAACAUUACCAUGAUGUUGCCUGAAUAUUUUGCCUCCCAUAACACUGUGUGAGCCAUGGCCACAAGAGAAUUGUGGCUUAACAGUCAGAGGCUUAAGAGCACACACAGCACCCAUCCAUGGCCUGUAAAAUUGCUCCUGUCCAGAGUGAUCCUCAGCAGAACCCUGGUUCCACAUGCUGAGUGGUUAGACCAGCACUUCUGAAGGUGCUUCUUCAGAAGAGAAGGAAGAAGGUGUUUCUUCAGAAGAGGAGAAUGCUCAUCUCAUUUGAUGUCAAAUCAUGGAGCUCCACAAAGGAAGCCCAUUCACACUGGGAGCCCAUCCCCUGCAUUAAAGUAUUAGGUUAUUGUUUAUUAGGCUGACCAGAUGCUAUGUGCAUGUGUGCGUGGUUUUCCAUUUCAGACUAUGAAAAAAAAGAAGUAAAGGUAAGAAUCCCAAGAGUGCCUACAAGCCAUGGAGAGCUUGGAUUGAACUACAGAUAUGGGCAUAAGGCAAGGCAGUGUGGUUCACUGAGAGGGGAGAGCCUUGGGGUGUUUCCUGGGUGCUGCAGGAUCAGAGGUAAGCCACUUCCCAUGAGCAUGUGGACUUCUCACCUGGGGUGUGACACCUUCCAGCUCCCCUUGGGUGUUGAGCCCCACCUACUCCUCUGGGGUUCCAAUGCUGGGGACACAGGGCAGUUCUAAUGUAAUGUAAGUCGUCAAAUGAAAGAGGGGAUUUAAAAAUAAUUUCUUUUGUUGCUGGUACUUCAAAAUACUUUACAAGCCAUAUCAAGAGGAUUUAAAAAAAUCUUUCUUUAUGAGUUGCUUUCUUUUCCAGAAUAGUAUCCUUGGAAAUGGCCCACUGGGUAAAAACAAAACAAUACUAAAUCCCUGUGAAAACCAGCCGUUUGAACCGUCAUGAAUGUCAUUACCUCCAAAAGCCUGGGCUGUGUUUGGGUGGCACUGUGGGGACAGAGCAGCUGGGACUGAGCACUGGCAGCACUGAGGUGACAGAAGGUGCCAUGGUCCAUGCAGAGUGCUGUGGGCACACUUGUCUGCACAGCAGGCUCAAACACAGACCUUGCAGGGUGAGCCCAGGCCUGUGCCAGCUCAGGGUGCUACAAUUCACAUCAGCACAGCUCAGUUAAGAGGCAGCCGCACAGAAAUCAGUGGGAAGAAGAAGCCGCAGAGUAAACAACUCUAAACAGCUCUCCCAAUUAUCCAGGUAGCUGCUUGUGCCUUUAUCACUUAUUUUAUGCACCAGAUAAAGAGACCAUUAUGUUCACACAGAUAUUUGCACCCCAGCUGUGCUGGCAGGUUUUGUUUUUCCAGGUGCCAGGCACCACUUAGGAACUUACACCCUCAGACUAAGUGGACCUGAGGUUUGUUACCAUGCCAUGCUACUCAGACCGAACACAUAAUUUUUAAAAUGCCUGUGAGAAGUGACCUCCAGAGUUUUUUGGCAUGUCCUUAGGAAAUGAUCAGCCAUGGAAACUCACAAUUGUUUUUUUUUUAAGAAUUACUGGAAGAGCUUGUGGAGAUACUACUCAGAGACUGGUAGAGGGGCCAUGUGUGAGCUCACUCUUUCCUCAUGGCAUAACCAGAGGAGCUGAACAGCAACUGAAAAGAGUCAGAAAGUACCUGAGAUGCUAGGAAAUGUCUGCCUGUCCUUUGGCUACCUACCCCCAGCUUUUUUGAGAACACACCCGUGGGCCAGAAGGAGCAAGAGAACUGCUGUAGGUUCUGAAGGCACUUCCCAAGCUGCCCUCAUAUUUCUGCAUAUGGUCCUGCCAUUUUAUUAAAUUCUUCUGGAGUUGCUCCUGACCUAAGCUAAGUACUUUUCUAUUGACAUCAACUUUUGCCACUUCACUAUUCACCCCCAGAUUAUUAAUAAAGCAUUAAACAAUA